rnacentral:rRNA from 1 species
AGUGCACCCGCUCAAACAUGUCGGCCUAACACAUCCAGGUAUUACGGUAGAGAGAAGCUUGCUUCUCUUGAGAGCGGCGGACGGGUGAGUAAUGCCUAGGAAUCUGCCUGGUAGUGGGGGAUAACGUUCGGAAACGGACGCUAAUACCGCAUACGUCCUACGGGAGAAAGCAGGGGACCUUCGGGCCUUGCGCUAUCAGAUGAGCCUAGGUCGGAUUAGCUAGUUGGUGAGGUAAUGGCUCACCAAGGCUACGAUCCGUAACUGGUCUGAGAGGAUGAUCAGUCACACUGGAACUGAGACACGGUCCAGACUCCUACGGGAGGCAGCAGUGGGGAAUAUUGGACAAUGGGCGAAAGCCUGAUCCAGCCAUGCCGCGUGUGUGAAGAAGGUCUUCGGAUUGUAAAGCACUUUAAGUUGGGAGGAAGGGCAUUAACCUAAUACGUUAGUGUUGUGACCUUACCGACCGACUAAGCACCGGCUAACUCUGUGCCAGC